rnacentral:rRNA from 1 species
AUUGAACGCUGGCGUCAGGCCUAACACAUGCAAGUCGAGCGGAGCGGCGGACGGGCGAGUAAGGCCUAGGAAUCUGCCUGGUAGAGGGGGAUAACGUACGGAAACGGGCGCUAAUACCGCAUACUAUCAGAUGAGCCUAGGUCGGAUUAGCUAGUUGGUGGGGUAAAGGCCUACCAAGCCGACGAUCCGUGACUGGUCUGAGAGGAUGAUCAGUCACACUGGAACGGAGACACGGUCCAGACUCCUACGUGAGGCAGCAGUGGGGAAUAUUGGACAAUUGGCGAAAGCCUGAUCCAGCCAUUCCGCGUGUGUGAAGAAGGUCUUCGGAUUGUAAAGCACUUUAAGUUGGGAGGCGUUACCACCAGAAUAAGCACCGGCUAACUUCGUGCCAGCAGCCGCGGUAAUAC